AGAGCGAACGCUGGCGGCAUGCUUAACACAUGCAAGUCGCACGGGCAGGGCAACCUGUCAGUGGCGGACGGGUGAGUAACGCGUAGGAAUCUAUCCACGGGUGGGGGAUAACGCCGGGAAACUGGUGCUAAUACCGCAUGAUACCUGAGGGUCAAAGGCGCAAGUCGCCUGUGGAGGAGCCUGCGUCCGAUUAGCUAGUUGGUGGGGGUAACUGCCUACCAAGGCGACGAUCGGUAGCUGGUCUGAGAGGAUGAUCAGCCACAUUGGGACUGAGACACGGCCCAAACUCCUACGGGAGGCAGCAGUGGGGAAUAUUGGACAAUGGGCGAAAGCCUGAUCCAGCAAUGCCGCGUGGGUGAAGAAGGUCUUCGGAUUGUAAAGCCCUUUCGGCGGGGACGAUGAUGACGGUACCUGCAGAAGAAGCCCCGGCCAACUACGUGCCAGCAGCCGCGGUAAUACGUAGGGGGCGAGCGUUGUCCGGAAUUAUUGGGCGUAAAGAGCUCGUAGGCGGCUUGGCAAGUCACGUGUGAAAUCUCCAGGCUCAACCUGGUGAUGCCACGUGAUACUGCCAUGGCUUGAGUCCGGUAGGGGACCAUGGAAUUCCUGGUGUAGCGGUGAAAUGCGCAGAUAUCAGGAGGAACACCAGUGGCGAAGGCGGUGGUCUGGGCCGGUACUGACGCUGAGGAGCGAAAGCGAGGGGAGCAAACGGGAUUAGAUACCCCGGUAGUCCUGGCCCUAAACGGUGCGCGUUUGCUGUGAGCGGAAUCGACCCCGCUCGUGGCGAAGCUAACGCGUUAAACGCGCCGCCUGGGAAGUACGGCCGCAAGGUUAAA
rnacentral:rRNA from 1 species